rnacentral:rRNA from 1 species
GUUGUAUGGUUAAGUGACUAAGCGUACACGGUGGAUGCCUUGGCAGUCAGAGGCGAUGAAAGACGUAGUAACUUGCGAUAAGCCCAGAUUAGGUAGUAACAACCAUUUGAGUCUGGGAUUUCUGAAUGGGGAAACCCACUUACAUAAGUAAGUAUCAUUAACUGAAUACAUAGGUUAAUGAGGCGAACCGGGGGAACUGAAACAUCUAAGUACCCCGAGGAAAAGAAAUCAACCGAGAUUCCGAAAGUAGCGGCGAGCGAAAUUGGACUAGCCCUUAAGCUUUACACGCGUUAGACGAACGGUCUGGAAAGUCCGACGAUACAGGGUGAUAGUCCCGUAGUUGACGACGUGUGUUCAGUGAAAUCGAGUAGGGCGGGACACGUGAUAUCCUGUCUGAAUAUGGGGGGACCAUCCUCCAAGGCUAAAUACUACUGACUGACCGAUAGUGAACCAGUACCGUGAGGGAAAGGCGAAAAGAACCCCUGUGAGGGGAGUGAAAUAGAACCUGAAACCGUGUACGUACAAGCAGUAGGAGCAGGCUUUGUCCUGUGACUGCGUACCUUUUGUAUAAUGGGUCAGCGACUUAUAUUCAGUGGCAAGGUUAACCAUCUAGGGGAGCCGUAGGGAAACCGAGUCUUAACUGGGCGUUCAGUCUCUGGAUAUAGACCCGAAACCAGGUGAUCUAGCCAUGGGCAGGUUGAAGGUUGAGUAACAUCAACUGGAGGACCGAACCGACUAAUGUUGAAAAAUUAGCGGAUGACUUGUGGCUAGGGGUGAAAGGCCAAUCAAACCUGGAGAUAGCUGGUUCUCCCCGAAAGCUAUUUAGGUAGCGCCUCGGACGAAUACUACUGGGGGUAGAGCACUGUUAAGGCUAGGGGGUCAUCCCGACUUACCAACCCUUUGCAAACUCCGAAUACCAGUAAGUACUAUCCGGGAGACACACGGCGGGUGCUAACGUCCGUCGUGGAGAGGGAAACAACCCAGACCGCCAGCUAAGGUCCCAAAUUACUACUAAGUGGGAAACGAUGUGGGAAGGCUCAGACAGCCAGGAUGUUGGCUUAGAAGCAGCCAUCAUUUAAAGAAAGCGUAAUAGCUCACUGGUCGAGUCGGCCUGCGCGGAAGAUGUAACGGGGCUAAGUAGUAAACCGAAGCUGCGGCAAUAUACUUUUGUAUAUUGGGUAGGGGAGCGUUCUGUAAGCGGUUGAAGGUGUGUGGUAACGCAUGCUGGACGUAUCAGAAGUGCGAAUGCUGACAUGAGUAACGAUAAAGGGGGUGAAAAACCUCCUCGCCGGAAGACCAAGGGUUCCUGUCCAACGUUAAUCGGGGCAGGGUAAGUCGACCCCUAAGGCGAGGCCGAAAGGCGUAGUCGAUGGGAAACGGGUUAAUAUUCCCGUACUUCUUACAAUUGCGAUGGGGGGACGGAGAAGGCUAGGUGGGCCUGGCGACGGUUGUCCAGGUUCAAGUGCGUAGGCUUAAGAGUUAGGUAAAUCCGGCUCUUUUUAAGGCUGAGACACGACGUCGAGCACCUACGGGUGUGAAGUCAUUGAUGCCAUGCUUCCAGGAAAAGCCUCUAAGCUUCAGAUUGUAAGGAAUCGUACCCCAAACCGACACAGGUGGUCGGGUAGAGAAUACCAAGGCGCUUGAGAGAACUCGGGUGAAGGAACUAGGCAAAAUGGUACCGUAACUUCGGGAGAAGGUACGCUCUUGAUGGUGAAGUCCCUUGCGGAUGGAGCUGACGAGAGUCGCAGAUACCAGGUGGCUGCAACUGUUUAUUAAAAACACAGCACUGUGCAAAAUCGUAAGAUGACGUAUACGGUGUGACGCCUGCCCGGUGCCGGAAGGUUAAUUGAUGGGGUUAGACUUCGGUCGAAGCUCUUGAUCGAAGCCCCGGUAAACGGCGGCCGUAACUAUAACGGUCCUAAGGUAGCGAAAUUCCUUGUCGGGUAAGUUCCGACCUGCACGAAUGGCGUAAUGAUGGCCACGCUGUCUCCACCCGAGACUCAGUGAAAUUGAAAUCGCUGUGAAGAUGCAGUGUACCCGCGGCUAGACGGAAAGACCCCGUGAACCUUUACUACAGCUUGGCACUGAACAUUGACCCUACAUGUGUAGGAUAGGUGGGAGGCUUUGAAGCACGUACGCCAGUAUGUGUGGAGCCGUCCUUGAAAUACCACCCUUGUAGUGUUGAUGUUCUAACGUCGACCCCUAAUCGGGGUUGCGGACAGUGCCUGGUGGGUAGUUUGACUGGGGCGGUCUCCUCCCAAAGAGUAACGGAGGAGCACGAAGGUGGGCUAAUCACGGUUGGACAUCGUGAGGUUAGUGCAAUGGCAUAAGCCCGCUUGACUGCGAGAAUGACAAUUCGAGCAGGUGCGAAAGCAGGUCAUAGUGAUCCGGUGGUUCUGAAUGGAAGGGCCAUCGCUCAACGGAUAAAAGGUACUCCGGGGAUAACAGGCUGAUA